AUGGCAUGUUGAGGGCAAUCUUCAUAAACUUUCUUGAAUCUUUCCCAAACUUGGUAAAAAUUCUCAUCUUUGCGUUGUCUAAAGUUUGGAAUCCUUUGUCUCCCCUU
rfam:Corchorus olitorius cultivar O-4 contig12982, whole genome shotgun sequence.